rnacentral:rRNA from 1 species
UACGUGAGUGGCGAGCGUUAUCCGGAAUCAUUGGGCGUAAAGCGUCUGUAGGGGGACAGGCAAGUGAGUUGUAAAAGACCUUGGCUCAACCAAGGGAGAGCAGCUUAUACUAUCUGUCUUGAAGGAGGUAGAGGCAAACGGAAUUCCCGGUGUAGGGGUUAUAUCCGUAGAUACCGGGAGGAACACCAAUAGCGAAGGCAGUUUGCUGGGCCUUUCUUGACCCUGAGAGACGAAAGCGUGGGGAGCGAACCGG